GGCGGGGCGGAAGGGAGGAGCCAGGGUCUUCCUCCUCAUUUCUCUCUGCUUUAGUGGCAACUUGGGAAGUGGUUGGGUCACCGCCAGGGUUCCAGCUCCCAUGGGCAGCCCCCUGCCUGACUGUGGUUCCGGUGUCCCACACCUAGUCUGGUUCCCAGGCUUUGGGUAUCGGCACUUCCUCCCCGGUCUCUGGAGUCCCAGGUUGUCACAGCUGCCUGCCGCUGCUUGUCGGUGGGUGGCUCACCAUCCCCGGUCAGGCCUUUCAGCUCCUCCAACACCUUCCGAACUAGCUCCCUAUAUCACAUGCCCUCUGUUGAAAUACCUGACUUGAGUUCUGGUUUCCUAGCUGGAUCUUGACUAAGAGAAGCCCCUACUAUGUGCCAGGCUGGGAUCCCUGCCUUCAAGGAGCUUACAAUCUAGUGCGGAAAGGGACGUUUGUCAAAUCAUCCCAUGAAUAUGCAUAAAAGUUCAGACAGCACCCAGUGCUGUGAAGGCCACUGUCGGUGAGGGAAGACCCUAGAGAGGAGGCUUGAUCUCACUUGGGGCCUGGCAGGCACCUCGAGGAAGGGAUGUAUCUAAGAGACAGGAUCUCAUGUUAUUUAGGCUUGUCUGGGACUCCUGGCCUCAAGCAAUCCUCCUGCCUCGGCCUACCGAAGUGCUGGGAUUACAGGCAUGAGCCACUGCACCCGGCCACCAGCAUUUGUUAAAGUCUCACCACGGAUCAGGCUCUCAUCUAAAAAACUUGAAGUUGUCAUUCUGUGUCCUUACAGUAACCCCUCAAGCUGAAGACAAAAUAUUUGCCAGUCUUGUUCAUGAAGGUAUUCCAAUGCCUAGAACAUUGCUUUUGCACAUAGUAGGUGCUCAACAAACGGGCCUUGCACACAGUAGUUAAUAUCACAGGUUAAAGACGAAGAAUAAGGGGGAUCCCUGCCUUGAUGGACAAGGAGAAAAGCAGGGCCCUGAUGAGGGAGCCCCGCACUGCCAGGAUGGAGCAGGAGUGUCAAAGGAAGCCUUCCAACAGCGGUGGCACAGGCGCCAAGGCAACAAGGAAGGGUGGGAGCUCUGCAAGGCACCGGGCACUCCAGGCAGAAGGACCUGUGUGGGGAAAAGCAAGGCAGCUGGAAAAAGCAAGCGGAGCUGCGAAGGCGCCAAGAACACAGUGAGAAGGUAGCCAGGAAGAGAGCCCUCACCAGGAACAUAAUCUGCCGGCACUUUGAUCUUGGACUUCUAGCUUCCAGAACUAGGAGCAAUAAAUGUCUGUUGUUUAAGCCACCCACCCUGUGGUGUCUUGUUAAGCCAGGCCAAGCUGACUACAACAGAAGGGUCGUUCUGGAAUCAGAUAGAACUGAAGCCCUGACUCUGCCACCUCCCAGCUUGGGGGGAAUCGUUGAUGUCUUAGUCACAGUUCCUCUUCUGCAAAAUGAGCACAAGUGCCAGAGCCCUCCAGGUCACACAUGCAAACUUCCAGGAGCCAUGUGGGUCUGUCAGGGAGCUCCAUGAAGGCCCACAGCUUCAUUUAUGAUCACCAUCACCCUCUCAGGGGUGCUUGGCAUGGGGUCCUCAGAGGGCAGAUGGCCUUCUGGGUUUAAUCUUGUCAUCUCAACAGUUCAGGGGCCCUCGCAGACCAGACAUAUUUUGCCUGUGGUCAAGGAAUCCAGGCUGGGCAGAGUCUUCCAUCUUGGAGGCGACUGGAAUUCUGACAGCCAAGCAUGGAAGCCACAGUCAUCUCUCAGAGGAUGACCACCUGUGUCUUUGAGGAAUAAGAAGGGGGA
rnacentral:lncRNA from 10 species